GCAACCUGAAGAUGGCGCACCAGAACCUGGUGGUGUUCCGCUCGCUGCUCGGAAUCAGCUGGAUGUGGUUCUUCGGGGCGGUUUUUCUCAGCCAGUUCCCCAGCUUUGCGAUGGAAGUAUUG
rnacentral:ncRNA from 1 species